UGCAGUCGAGCGGAUGAAGGGAGCUUGCUCCUGGAUUCAGCGGCGGACGGGUGAGUAAUGCCUAGGAAUCUGCCUGGUAGUGGGGGAUAACGUCCGGAAACGGGCGCUAAUACCGCAUACGUCCUGAGGGAGAAAGUGGGGGAUCUUCGGACCUCACGCUAUCAGAUGAGCCUAGGUCGGAUUAGCUAGUUGGUGGGGUAAAGGCCUACCAAGGCGACGAUCCGUAACUGGUCUGAGAGGAUGAUCAGUCACACUGGAACUGAGACACGGUCCAGACUCCUACGGGAGGCAGCAGUGGGGAAUAUUGGACAAUGGGCGAAAGCCUGAUCCAGCCAUGCCGCGUGUGUGAAGAAGGUCUUCGGAUUGUAAAGCACUUUAAGUUGGGAGGAAGGGCAGUAAGUUAAUACCUUGCUGUUUUGACGUUACCAACAGAAUAAGCACCGGCUAACUUCGUGCCAGCAGCCGCGGUAAUACGAAGGGUGCAAGCGUUAAUCGGAAUUACUGGGCGUAAAGCGCGCGUAGGUGGUUCAGCAAGUUGGAUGUGAAAUCCCCGGGCUCAACCUGGGAACUGCAUCCAAAACUACUGAGCUAGAGUACGGUAGAGGGUGGUGGAAUUUCCUGUGUAGCGGUGAAAUGCGUAGAUAUAGGAAGGAACACCAGUGGCGAAGGCGACCACCUGGACUGAUACUGACACUGAGGUGCGAAAGCGUGGGGGAGCAAACAGGAUUAGAUACCCUG
rnacentral:rRNA from 1 species